GACGAACGCUGGCGGCGUGCUUAACACAUGCAAGUCGAACGGAAAGGCCCUGCUUUUGUGGGGUGCUCGAGUGGCGAACGGGUGAGUAACACGUGAGUAACCUGCCCUUGACUUUAGGAUAACUUCAGGAAACUGGGGCUAAUACCGGAUAGGAGCUCCUGCUGCAUGGUGGGGGUUGGAAAGUUUCGGCGGUUGGGGAUGGACUCGCGGCUUAUCAGCUUGUUGGUGGGGUAGUGGCUUACCAAGGCUUUGACGGGUAGCCGGCCUGAGAGGGUGACCGGCCACAGUGGGACUGGGAUACGGCCCAGACUCCUACGGGAGGCAGCAGUGGGGAAUAUUGCACAAUGGGCGGCAGCCGGAUGCAGCAACGCCGCGUGCGGGAUGACGGCCUUCGGGUUGUAAACCGCUUUCGCCUGUGACGAAGCGUGAGUGACGGUAAUGGGUAAAGAAGCACCGGCUAACUACGU
rnacentral:rRNA from 1 species